CAGUCGCCGCGGGAAUACAGAGGCCUCAAGCGUUGUUCGGAUUCAUUGGGCGUAAAGGGUGCGUAGGUGGCUUGGUAAGUUGAAGGUGAAAUCUCGGGGCUUAACCCCGAAACUGCCUUCAAUACUGCUAGGCUCGAGGACUGUAGAGGAGAAUGGAAUUCACGGUGUAGCAGUGAAAUGCGUAGAUAUCGUGAGGAAGACCAGUGGCGAAGGCGAUUCUCUGGGCAGUUCCUGACACUGAGGCACGAAGGCCAGGGGAGCAAACGGGAUUAGAUACCCCUGUAGUCCCUGUCUCUUAUAC
rnacentral:rRNA from 1 species